UGUCCUAGAGCACUGAGAUGGUCGCCUGUGGGGACCUGCCCGGGGGCUAAGGCUAGGCUCCUAAAAGCAGCAGGGGCUGCAAUCUGGGUCCCUUUGUGGGAAAGAUUUAGGGAAGUGGUCUGUAGGUUGGGGGGCUGCUUGUCUGUGGCUGAGAUCCCACCCACCUGCCAGGAGCCAGAAGGACUUGAACUGACCAGCACUGGCGCCACAGGUACAAAGAGUGGCCCAACUGCUCGUUCUCCAACUCUUCAGGGAUAGUCCUGCCUGUCCUUCACAGACCUGCCCUCCCAAGGACCCCUUCAGGCUACUCUGCUAUGGAUCAAGGAGUGGCACUUGCUCCCACCCUGGCUCCAGGAAGUUCCCCAAAGAGCUCUGGGCAGUACCUUGAGUCUGUAUGGUUGUAGGUCUCCGGGGAGCUUGUGUGCAGGCCAGGUUGAUGUCACCCACCCAGGGUAUCACAGCAAGCAAAAGCCUGUGCUUGAGGAGCCUGCGAUGUAGAGCCUGUCUCUUGCGUCUCUGCUUAUUCCGAUGCUGUUUCUUCUGAGGGGAGGAAUAGGCUGCUUCAGGUCUCAGAUACCCAGGCACACAGGUGACAGGGAAACAAGACACCCUAUGGAGAGGUCCCUUAAGGAUGAACACCUCCAGGGACAGAGCACACUGGGGCUGAGGUAUGCUUUCCCUCUGUCCUCAG
ensembl:processed_transcript Gm13562 predicted gene 13562